rnacentral:misc_RNA from 1 species
GUUAUUAAAAUUAAUCUUCGUCAUUCUCUCAGCAAAUGACUUUGUUUUUUGUUUUUUUCAACCAUGUCAUCCCCAAUGAAGGUUGAAAAGGUAGUAAUUAAAAAGGAGACCAUUACUAUCCAAUUAAAAAAAGCAAUCAUUGAAAAGUACGAACAUGGUGCAGGAGUGAGGGAAUUAUGUCAACUCUACAAUGAGUCUUCCUCCACAAUUUGUGCAAUACUAAAGAAAGAAGAAGAAAUAAAGAGGCUGGACUUAGCGGUAGGAGUGACGAGAAUAAAUAAACAACGACAUUGUGCUCUGGAAGAUGUUGAAAAGCUUCUUUUGGUUUGGAUCAACGAGAAAAAGAUAGGAGGUGAAAUUGUGACAGAAAAUUCUAUUCGCCACAAGGCGAAGGCAUUGUUUGAUGACCUUGUGAGAGAGAUGGGAAGUUCCGUUGAAGAAGUGGACUCGUUCAAGGCUAGUCCAGGAUGGUUUGUUAACUUUAAAAAAAGGUCAGGCAUCAAUUACAAUAUGAGUCAUGAAGAAGUUGCAAGUGUUGAUGAAAUGUCGAAAGCUCCUUCUCUAACCCCUCCUGCCAUCAGUAAUCAAUCACAUCAAAGUGAGGAAGUUGGAACCAUGAAUAUUCCCUAUUUUAUAGAAUGUGUAAAGAAGCAUCCAUGUCUUUGGAAUGUAAAUAAUACGAAUUUUACUGACCUAGAGCUGAAAAAACGAGCCUGGCAGGACAUCAUGGAAGCAACGGGUGAGGAUUAUAUGACGUGCACCACAAAAUGGCGAUCUCUAAGAUAUACGUAUUCAAGACGCUUAAGAUCACUCAUAAAGGGGGAGAUUAAGACGGAAACUAUGUGGCAUCAUUUUGAACAAUUGGAUUUCCUGAAGAAUUUUGUUCCGAUGAAGAAUUUUAAAAAGACGGGAGAUCACAUUAAUGUAAUCAUGGUGGAUGAGCCGUUUAAAGAGGGAAACAGCUCAGACGAGGAUAUUAAAAUACACGUACCAUCACAGAGUUACAUUCCGUGUUCAUCCAACACACCCAUAACAUCCACAGUGGAUUACACAUAUCAUGAUAAUAAGUUGCCUUCGGACAAUGAGUCAUCCGAAAAGCUGUCUGGCAAGAGGAAGAGGGACUCAAAUCUGGAAGAAACCUAUGAAAAUGACAAUGAGGAUGAACUUUUUGGUCGAAUUGUUAUUUGUAAAUUGAGGAAAUUUAGUGAGCGACAAAAGUCAAAGAUCCGAAUAAGUUUACUUCAAACUUUCCUAAAUAUUGAUGUUGAAAAUAAUUGCGAAUAGGUGAUAAUUAUUCGCGUUUGGAAAGUUCAACUAUGAAUGUUAUUUGGAAGUCGUGCCUGAACUCGUUAUAAAUUAGUGAUUAAUUAUAUUAUUACUGAAAACUUAAGGAAACAGUUGACAAUAUAAACUUUAAUAGGGGCCCGGUUACACCGUGUCAUUUUAAUUAUAAUAAUAUGAGAACAAUGGUUAAUUGAUGAAAAAUAUAAUUCUUAAUUGCAUGAUAUCCACGUGACUUUUCACCAUAUUUUGCCAUCCUCUCUUUAAAAAUUUUUAUGUAUCAAGUAUAAUAAGAAGUUCAAAUGUCAUGAAUCUAACAAACUAAGAAAUAUUAACUAUGUAAAUAAAUCAUAACACAAUUUAUUUUUUAUAAUUCCAUAUUCAAUUAUAGUUGCACUUAAACUGUUGAUUACGAAUCAUAAUCCCGUGGACUCCCAUAGAAUCUGUUAUUUGUUUUUGUUUUGUUAUUUUGUAUCAAAUCAGGUUAUGAGAAUUUUGGAUUUCCAUUUUUUCAGUAUUUUUACUCUUAUUAUAGGUUUGAGGCAAAUCUGAGUAAGAAAUAAAUCAAUAAUCUACAUAAAUAGUAAUAUUUAUUGUUAUCAAAAAAAUAAUUAAUGUUCAUUUUACUGAUUUGGUCGGAUCCGAAUGAAUUAUAGCCUUAGGUCCGUAACUCAGAAUUCUAUACAACUUAUAUUUUAUGUUUAAAGUCUGUAUUUGUCUUAAUUUUUGAAAUAAAUACCGUUUGCUUUUU